GACAAACAUAGAACAGUCUAAAGUAAAAAACAUUUAGUCUCCACAUCAACAUGGACUCUAGAAGAACCUUUAUACAAGAUGCGGUGGACGCGUGUCUCAGGGUGUCGAGAGGUCCUGCAGCGCGCUGAGAUGGGCUUCGAGCACUGACGCGUCACGUCAACCAAUCAGAGAAGCUCAGCUUUGUAACAUGGUGGCAUAUUUUAUCAUGGGACAGAAGGACCAUUUUAUUUACUAAUAAACCAUGCCUGAAGGCUGAAAAAGGACACAUCAGCUUUCUGAAUGAAACGCAGGUAGGGGGCGCUGUAUUUAAUAACAUCCUAAACCAGCUGAUCAGAGGCACAAACAUUUCCCCAAAACCACCAUGAAACAACGUGUUUGACAUUUAUUAACGGUCCUGCAGGAGGAGGGAGGAGGGAGCAGGCAGAGAGCAGCUGGCCGUAAUCAGACCGCCUGCAUCGGAUCAAGCGGGAGAAAAGCCCCGAUGAGAUUCAAAAUUGAAACUUCAGGUGAACUCUGGAGCUUCAUCCGUCCAAACAGCAGCGUCUCUCCUCGUUGCUUCUCCUGCCACCCUCCAUCUGAGUGGAGCGGAGCCACAGCUUUCACAUUUGAGUUGAUUCCCAGGUACCGAUACUCAAUGGUACCAGUUUUCUAUACUUUUGUGUGUGUUUAAGUGGUAAUAAAUGUUCAUUUGUUUAAUAAUAAAAUCUUUUGAAUUUCUCAAUAAAAUAAACUUAUAUUAAAAAACAUCCAGCUGUUUCAAACAUUUCUUCAUCAUUAAAACCCUUCACUGACUACACUGUUUAAUGCAUAAAUUAUAACCCAGCCACGUCGCUGGCUGCAGACGAAUUUAUCAUCAUGAAAAAUUCAUCAUAAACAUCACAAUAAAGUCAAACAUUUGUUCAAGCUUUUUAAGGAGAAUUUAUAGGCCCUUCCUGGUCCAACCUGGUGUUCAGCAUUAAGGAAUCAAAAUAAGGUCAUGAAGUUACCAGGACAGAGAAAUAAAUGAACAGGUUUCAAAAUGCUACUCUGGAUUCUAAAUAAAUUACAUGAGCUCAUUAAAUUUCUAGCAGCUCCCUCUGAAGACUAGGAUGUAAUGCAUUCAUCUAAAAGGCAAACUAUUAACCAUUUCUACUAUUAUUCUAGGAGGAGACUCAGGUUUUAUCCAUCAACAUCUUGACCAUAACUGCAGCAAAUUUGGACUGAAUCAACUGAGGCAUAUUUGUUCCACAGAGGUUUUUAGAGGGCAACGUGUCAGGACUCUGAUUCUGAAUCAAGCUUUCAUUCAGUCACACACAGACAGACAUGCAGCCUCUUAUAACCCUGUUCAUAAAGUAGAACAUCUAAAGGGUCACUUUCAAUAGUUCUCAUUCAAUAGUGUUAAAGUGCAAGAAAUAAAACUAGUCAUAAUGGGAAAAGUUGUGUUCCAUUAACCUCAGAAGUUAUCGGAGUUGUAGCGUGUAUUGCUAGCAUCUCAAACAGCUGUCUUUGAGCUAAAAACAUCUCGUCUUAUAAACACUGAAAAGUAGUACCUCUACGACAGACUAAAUGUUGCAUAAAUAAUAAAGAACUGCUAAAAACAAAA